rnacentral:sRNA from 1 species
GGAACAAGCCAUGGUGGCGGCGACGGUGGCAGCGGCGUGGCUGCUCCUGUGGGCUGCGGCCUGCGCGCAGCAGGAGCAGGACUUCUACGACUUCAAGGCGGUCAACAUCCGGGGCAAACUGGUGUCGCUGGAGAAGUACCGCGGAUCGGUGUCCCUGGUGGUGAAUGUGGCCAGCGAGUGCGGCUUCACAGACCAGCACUACCGAGCCCUGCAGCAGCUGCAGCGGGACCUGGGUCCCCACCACUUCAACGUGCUCGCCUUCCCCUGCAACCAGUUUGGCCAACAGGAGCCUGACAGCAACAAGGAGAUUGAGAGCUUUGCCCGCCGCACCUACAGUGUCUCAUUCCCUAUGUUUAGCAAGAUUGCAGUCACCGGUACUGGUGCCCAUCCUGCCUUCAAGUACCUGGCCCGUAAGUCCUGGUCUCUUCAUCCCCUCACACCUCCCUCAGCUGGCUGAGGCCAUGGCUCCCUGGGCAGCAGAAGCCACGGGCUGGUUGGGUGACCUGGGGCCCCUUCCCCUUCCUGAUCAUCUCAGGUAGACUGAUGCUUUGUUCCAGCACUAAUCUUUGAGGAGAGUGGAGGCAGGUACAAGCUGAGGGGUAUUCCUGCCUAAGAAUAUCUCCAUACCUGCUGCCUCUCACUUGUCCCUCAGAAGUCACUCUUUUGGACUUUUCUGGGAUCCUGUUUUCACAUUCAGGGGCUCCUAGAAGGAGACAUUUAAGUCAGUGUGAACUAGAUGAGUUUAUGGACAUACGAUGGAGAAACCAAGGCAUAGACAGGGGAGGCCACGUGCUUGGAGAAAGCUGACCAAGAUAGUGGACAGGCAUCUUCACCCUGAGUCAGUGGCGGAGUCUGUAGGCCAUGGAGGGAGAC